rnacentral:lncRNA from 1 species
AUCAUCUCUACCGGAAUUUGUUAACUUUUGAAAAACUAAUUAAGAACUCACAUUUCCUUGUUUCAGGACACCUGCAGAGUGGGGAGGGGGACCUUGUGCACAUAGAAAAACACUGGAGAAGCCAGGAAAGUUACACACACAGCUUACCUCUUCAGUGGACUGGAAGGCCAGGAGUGGUGGAAUCAGCCUGUGGUCCUUUGCUGUCUGUUUUAAGGUCUCAGUAAUCUGAAAGCUGCUGGAAACAUCGGGCUCCCAGCAGUGAAGAGAUGCUGGCCUCCUGGGUACAGACCAAGUUUCCAUUUCUGUGAAAACGAUGGUGUGAUCCCUGGAGCUGUAGCAGCUUGCUUGAGGCAGCCCUCCCAUUAACCAGAAAGUACCAGGAGACUGCGGUGAUAAGGAGACCCACCACCAACUGCUUCCUUCUAGCCUUGAGAGAUGAAAAGGCUUCCUGAAGCAUCUGAUGCCCACGAGCCGAGCCGAGCCGCGGGACCCAGUUGCUGUGGGAGAAGAAAGGGUGAUGUGGGCAUGGCUCUAGUGUUUUCCUGAAGACAGCACUAAAACAAACCGAACAAAACAAACAAACUAAACUAAAAACCUAUAGCAAUCUUAAAAGCCAAGACAGAGCUAAAUGACAAGGCAGUGUUUGGUUUCAGGCCCCGGUACAAGGGACUGAGGUGCACAGUUAACACAGCAAAGCAGAUCAGGCCUCUAGGCCCACCUAGCAUCCCUCAGUCCCCGUGUGCCUUACCUGGACCCCAACCCUAAACUUUCCAGCCCAGGGGCUGGGAUGCCCUUCCCCCAGGGGCUCCUCCCUAUAUAAUCCCCUCCUAGAGGCUCUUCCCCCUAAUCCAGACA